rnacentral:lncRNA from 1 species
GAGUCGGUUUUCGGGAGCAGGAAGAAGAAACGAUCUCUCCCCCCUCCCCCCCGCUUGGAAGGCAAGAUCCACUGUGCUAGACAUUGGCCCCGUCAUUUUUAGGAGAGGGAAAAGGUCACAGCUUGAGAUCCUUGUCCCAAGGCUUCGGAAGCUCUUGGGCUUGUCCCCUCUGGACCCUCUGGAGCAGCAGAGGGAAGAUUGGAGUCAGGUUUCCUGUUGGCUCUUGCAUUGAGGACCAGAGUGGAGAGGAUGGCACAGAUAAAGUUCAACCAACUGCAGAUGAAGGCCUACCUAGAAGGGUCUGUGCAGAACAAGCAGGGUCCCUCCAGAUCUGAACACUAUGCAGCCAGCUACCACCAGGGGACAAGACCAAGAAUGAAGAGACCAAGGCUCCCUGCAGAUCACAUGAUGGACUCUCAUUGCUUCUAACCUUGGCUGCCUGGAAGAACCUUAUCUCUACAUAGAUACAGCCAGCGAGACUACACUAGACAAGGCAACCAGAGGUCAAAGAGAAGAAAAGGCAGAACGGGGACAGGAGACAAGAGGGAAGCAACAGCUGUUGGCUUGGAAUAGCACAGAAAGAAACUUUAGGUAGUGGCUUGCCAGUGGUCUACCGUGAAACCAGAGGCAUGGUAUCUUUUCUGCCACUAGCCUGGCAGGCAUUGACAGGGAGGCUGGCCUUGGCAAUGACUGAGCAUCUCUAACCACAGUAGCCUGGGGCAAUCUCUUUCUGGAAGAUGAGUGGCCUCCUUGCCUUUGCUGGCUCUUCCAGUUCACCAUCAUCUGAGAGUUUCUGGCUGUGAACACAGCCUGCCCAGGGGCAGGCUGAAGGAAACAGACUGCAUGAGAAAAUGGGGAACCUGUCAGGGUAGAAGCAAGCUUCCUGCAGCCCCAUGGCAUGGUUCUCCAGUUUGGGUUGCCCCUCGUUUUGGCAUGGAUUUGAGGAGAUGUGUUCUAAAGUUUCUGGAGAGAGUUAGAAGGAUUGCAAGUGAAAUUGGGUAGUGCUCUAUG